AUUAGCACUUGACGUUGAAGACACCGUGGUCAUUCAGGCGGUUCUUCCAGGGCGAGGCCUGCCUAUUGCACUGUGGGCGGGUUGACCGUUGCGAGUAACCCUUAAUCUGGGUGAGUUGCACGCGUAUUUUAUUUAGUGAGGGACUGCGUCCGCGCUGUCUUUCU